CCUACGGGUGGCAGCAGUAGGGAAUCUUUCACAAUGGGCGAAAGCCUGAUGGAGCAACGCCGCGUGCAGGAUGAAGGCCUUCGGGUUGUAAACUGCUUUUAUAAGCGAGAAAUAUGAUGGUAACUUAUGAAUAAGGAUCGGCUAACUACGUGCCAGCAGCCGCGGUAAUACGUAGGGGGCAAGCGUUAUCCGGAAUCACUGGGUGUAAAGGGAGCGUAGACGGCUGAGCAAGCCUGAAGUGAAAGGCGGGGGCCCAACCCCCGGACUGCUUUGGGAACUGUACGGCUGGAGUGCAGGAGAGGUAAGUGGAAUUCCUGGUGUAGCGGUGAAAUGCGUAGAUAUUAGGAGGAACACCAGUGGCGAAGGCGGCUUACUGGACUGUAACUGACGUUGAGGCUCGAAAGCGUGGGGAGCAAACAGGAUUAGAUACCCCUGUAGUC
rnacentral:rRNA from 1 species